rnacentral:rRNA from 1 species
UAGGGAAUCUUCGGCAAUGGACGGAAGUCUGACCGAGCAACGCCGCGUGAGUGAAGAAGGUUUUCGGAUCGUAAAGCUCUGUUGUUAGAGAAGAACGUUGGUAGGAGUGGAAAAUCUACCAAGUGACGGUAACUAACCAGAAAGGGACGGCUAACUACGUGCCAGCAGCCGCGGUAAUACGUAGGUCCCGAGCGUUGUCCGGAUUUAUUGGGCGUAAAGCGAGCGCAGGCGGUUCUUUAAGUCUGAAGUUAAAGGCAGUGGCUUAACCAUUGUACGCUUUGGAAACUGGAGGACUUGAGUGCAGAAGGGGAGAGUGGAAUUCCAUGUGUAGCAGUGAAAUGCGUAGAUAUAUGGAGGAACACCGGUGGCGAAAGCGGCUCUCUGGUCUGUAACGGACGCUGAGGCUCGAAAGCGUGGGGAGCAAACAGG